GCGGCUUUGAGGAUAGCCAAGUGAGCAGAAACGACACGUGACUGGUGGCCACCGUUGCUAUGGAGAUCUCUUAACAUCUGGUCUAGUGCAUCCGGGACAUUCUUAAGGACACAAGGCAGCCAAUACUGGCGAGUGUGUUGGGCAAGCAAGCUACCAUGCAUGCGUAUAUGAAAAAAGAAAUUGGUUUGGAUCAAUAUUCCCGCCCUUAAUUGUAAAAAGGUGUUUCUAGUUUCUGUAACAAAGUUCUUUCUUACUGGACAGAGUUGUUAGCCCUGCGCCAAACCCACAAUUUGGAGGACCAAUGGAUACCUUACGCGCAUCCUGGAGCAGAUAGCAUGAAGUAAAGUUAAGAAGUUAAGUAUAUAAGGCAAAGUUUUAAAGGCCUCUGUGGAAGCAGAAGAGAGCUGGUUCGACUUCAAGCAGUAUGCCAUUUCUUCAAGUAAAGAUGGUCUCUUGUUGAAUACCUACGAAGUAAUCAUUGAUAAGAAGAUGCCAAUUUUAUCUGGAAUGCAACUGCCUUAUUUAAGAGAGGGACUUUGCGCCGUUAUAGUGGGUAACGUACUCUACCAUACCUGUUCCAGCGUGACGUGAGGAAGGAGUUCACAGAUCAGUCCAUAUCUUGUCUUUACUUGCCAUGGCACUGCAAGAACUUUGUCUACAAUAGACUCAUAAAACUGUGCUCUCUACGAAUAAAAAAGUGUGAAUUCGUAAAUCAUUCAUUUAACUGAAACAAGAGGUUGUGGAACUUGGCUCGACACGAGCGUCAGAAUUUUACCCCUGGAUUCCCGAGGGUGGAGUCCCAGAGGCUCUCAAUCCAGAGCUAUUUGGUCGUAAGUUCUUUUAUCGCAAGAGAAAUUGUCUUACACUAUACGAUCUCACUCGAUACUUAAAUCACUUACAAACGUUUCCUCGUCUUUAAGGAUGUAAUGUUCUCCAUCGUGUACGUCGAGGAAUAAUCCAAAUAUGCCUCUCCCUGCUAUAGAUACUCCCU